rnacentral:lncRNA from 1 species
AGAUUUCCUAGUGGUGUCCAAGAAACUGACACCCAUCACUGCAGGCUGGAAAUGGCUCAACAUCAUUCAUUUGUAUUACACAUCUAAGAGCUAUAAAACAAACCCAGUGUGAAGGCAAAGUUUCCCCAUUUGUCUCCAGAAUAAGACAGACUAUUGCAAAAACAGAGCUAAUAAAACUCUGUCAACUUCAACAACUUGGUUAGAGGUCCUGAUAACAAGUGACAGCCUUAGCUUUUUACAGACAACUUAUAGUGCCUUGGAAGCAUGUCAUGUGCAGAAUCCGCUACAGUGUCUUUGAAAAUAGCACAGUCAAACAUUCAAAAUUUAAGUGACGUUAAUGGGGAAGAGAGGAGGAGGUGGUGGUUAUAGCCAUGUCUACACUACUCUUUACAGAAGACAUAGAUGUCAGUGGUCCUUCACUCGUCUCAGAAAACAACUCACGACUACAGCAGCUUGCAUGAUGAAAUGGAAGAUCAUCAUUUGAGCUAUUCCACUGAAGUCAAGCAUGAAAUCUAUUUAGCUGGAUAGCUACCCAUUUCCUGUGACCUGCAAAAGAGAUGCCCUAUUCUUUCAGGAUCCUUGGAAUGCCACAUGCCCAGGCCCACUGGAAAACUGGGAAGGAAAACUGGAGCCACAUGCCUGGGCCCACUGAGAUUCAUCACCCUUCCCCUACAACCCUGUGUCAAGGAAACACAAAGAUAGAGUGGAUUUCAGCACCACCCAAUGCAGACGCAUGGCUGCUAGUUUAUCAGCAUAGGUCAAUGAAUGGUUUUAAGUUGCUAUGGGUUUAAGAGGAUCUCUUAGUUGAUGGGAAUUUUUGAAUCUUUUUUUUGCGUGGGACCCUUUGGCAGUUUUGUAAAAUGUACAGACUAUUUCUCAGAAUGUUUCUAAACGUGUAAGUUAUAUUGAAAUUGGCCAGGCACGGUGGUUCAUGCCUGUAAUCCCAGCAUUUUGGGAGACCGAGGUGGGCGGAUCACUUGAGGUCAGGAGUUUGAGACCAACCUGGCCAACAUGGUGAAACCCCGUCUCUACUAAAAAAAAUACAAAAGUUAGCCAGGCGUGGUGGUGUGUGCCUGUAAUCCCAGCUACUUGGGAGGCUGAGGCAAGGAGAAUCGCAUAAACCUGGGAUGUGGAGGUUGCAGUGAGCCAAGAUUGUGCCAUUGCACUCCAGCCUGGGUGACAAAGCGAGACUCUGUCUCAGAAAAAAAAACAAAAACAAAAAUAUAUAUAUAUAGAAAUAAAAUUAUCAAGAUUUUUUUAAGAAAUAA